rnacentral:rRNA from 1 species
GAUGAACGCUAGCGGCAGGCUUAAUACAUGCAAGUCGUACGGGAUCCGAGGUAGCAAUACUUUGGUGAGAGUGGCGCACGGGUGCGUAACACGUAUGCAACCUACCUUUAACCGGGACACAACCCACCGAAAGGUGAGCUAAUAUCCCAUAACACUGCGAAGUGGCAUCACUUUGCAGUUAAAACUCCGGUGGUUAUGGAUGGGCAUGCGCGACAUUAGCUAGUUGGUGAGGUAACGGCCCACCAAGGCUACGAUGUCUAGGGGUUCUGAGAGGAUUAUCCCCCCANACUGGUACUGAGACACGGACCAGACUCCUACGGGAGCAGCAGUAGGGAAUAUUGGGCAAUGGAGGCAACUCUGACCCAGCCAUGCCGC